rnacentral:rRNA from 1 species
AAUCAACGCUGGCGGCGUGCCUCAGACAUGCAAGUCGAACGCGAAAGCUCCCUUCGGGGAGCAAGUAGAGUGGCGCACGGGUGAGUAACACGUAGGUAAUCUACCUUUGGAUGGGGAAUAACAACCGGAAACGGUUGCUAAUACCGCAUAAUGCAGCGGCACCUAAUGGUGACAGUUGUUAAAGCGGGGGAUCGCAAGACCUCGCGUCUGAAGAGGAGCCUGCGGCGGAUUAGCUAGUUGGUAGGGUAACGGCUUACCAAGGCGAUGAUCCGUAGCCGGCCUGAGAGGGCGGUCGGCCACACUGACACUGACAUACGGGUCAGACUCCUACGGGAGGCAGCAGUCGGGAAUUUUGGGCAAUGGGCGAAAGCCUGACCCAGCAACGCCGCGUGAAGGAUGAAAUCCCUCGGGAUGUAAACUUCGCAAGAACGGGAAGAAUAAGCCGGUGUCAACACCACCGGCGAUGACGGUACUGUUUGUAAGCUCCGGCUAACUCCGUGCCAGCAGCC